GAUGAACGCUGGCGGCGUGCCUAAUACAUGCAAGUCGAGCGAACAGACGAGGAGCUUGCUCCUCUGACGUUAGCGGCGGACGGGUGAGUAACACGUGGAUAACCUACCUCUAAGACUGGGAUAACUUCGGGAAACCGGAGCUAAUACCGGAUAAUAUAUUCAACCGCUUGGUUCAAUAGUGAAAGACGGUUUUGCUGUCACUUAUAGAUGGUUCCGCGCCGCAUUAGCUAGUUGGUAAGGUAACGGCUUACCAAGGCAACGAUGCGUAGCCGACCUGAGAGGGUGAUCGGCCACACUGGAACUGAGACACGGUCCAGACUCCUACGGGAGGCAGCAGUAGGGAAUCUUCCGCAAUGGGCGAAAGCCUGACGGAGCAACGCCGCGUGAGUGAUGAAGGUCUUCGGAUCGUAAAACUCUGUUAUUAGGGAAGAACAAAUGUGUAAGUAACUAUGCACGUCUUGACGGUACCUAAUCAGAAAGCCACGGCUAACUACGUG
rnacentral:rRNA from 1 species